AGAGGGACCCAGAGUGUUGCCAGGGGUGAGCUGCAGGUGCUGUGGGCAUGUGUAAUGAAGCCUCACACUGGAAGGGACAAGAUAAAGGAAGCAAGAGCCAUAGAUAAACAUCUCCCUUGCAGCUGCAGUGGGUUGUGCGAUCCAACCUCACACUGUGUAUCCUUCCAUUUUCAUCGUAGUUCUGGAGUUUGCGCUCUGAAAUCUCAUGAUUGAUUUCAAGUUUGAAUUCACGGAAAGGUUUCUCCAGUCCUUUCUCAUAGAAAAGCUGAAUGUAUCCACUGUCAGUCAGCUUCACGUAUAUUGGUCCCCAGUGCCUGGAUGACAUAAUAUUCUUCUUUUCUGGGAUUCUGAGCAUCAUUGGCCAUCCAUCCUUUGGCUGAGAUGGUGCCAGGUUAAAUAAAGUGGCAUCUGGAUCAUAUGGCAUUGUGGGGUCAUCAUCAGGCAAGGUAGGGCUGCUCACAUAAUCUGGGUCGCCAAUCUGGAGUUGCUUCAGCUGCUCCACAGCAUCUGCAUGAGUUACACUUUUGUGUGCCUCUUGGAAACUGAUGGUAUCAGGUUCAUGAUGAAGAAUAAUGAGGGAGUCUCUUUGGCUUUUGCCUAAAACAGUGGAGACAGAAGAGCUUUUGGAACGCCUGUCUCGCUCCUCAAAGAAUGAGCUGAAUGGAUU
rnacentral:lncRNA from 1 species